GGGGGCGAACUGGUUUCGACGGAAAGGCAGAGGCGCGAGUAGCACGCCGAGGGCCACCUCCUCGUUAAACCGGUGGAAUUAAACGCAGCCAACGACAACUCGCUGGCUUUCGCGGCUUAAGCCGUGACGUCUCCCGGGCGGCCCUCCCGAGGCAGCCCGGCGAGGCGACGAUAAUUCGGGAUGGUCCGGAGGUGACACCCGUAGCCGCCGGGCGAGAUGCACGGGCUGGCCGGCCUUCCAUUUGCCGCUCAGCGGUUGGCCGGCGAGAAAAAAAACGAGUCGGCUAAGCGUGUAGAAGCUCUCGUACGAACCUUUUCGGACGCGGGUUCGAUUCCCGCCGCCUCCACCA
rnacentral:tmRNA from 1 species